AGCCUGAUGCAGCGACGCCGCGUGCGGGAUGACGGCCUUCGGGUUGUAAACCGCUUUUGACUGGGAGCAAGCCCUUCGGGGUGAGUGUACCUUUCGAAUAAGCACCGGCUAACUACGUGCCAGCAGCCGCGGUAAUACGUAGGGUGCAAGCGUUAUCCGGAAUUAUUGGGCGUAAAGGGCUCGUAGGCGGUUCGUCGCGUCCGGUGUGAAAGUCCAUCGCUUAACGGUGGAUCCGCGCCGGGUACGGGCGGGCUUGAGUGCGGUAGGGGAGACUGGAAUUCCCGGUGUAACGGUGGAAUGUGUAGAUAUCGGGAAGAACACCAAUGGCGAAGGCAGGUCUCUGGGCCGUCACUGACGCUGAGGAGCGAAAGCGUGGGGAGCGAACAGGAUUAGAUACCCUGGUAGUCCACGCCGUAAACGGUGGAUGCUGGAUGUGGGGACCAUUCCACGGUCUCCGUGUCGGAGCCAACGCGUUAAGCAUCCCGCCUGGGGAGUACGGCCGCAAGGCUAAAACUCAAAGAAAUUGACGGGGGCCCGCACAAGCGGCGGAGCAUGCGGAUUAAUUCGAUGCAACGCGAAGAACCUUACCUGGGCUUGACAUGUUCCCGACAGCCGUAGAGAUACGGUCUCCCUUCGGGGCGGGUUCACAGGUGGUGCAUGGUUGUCGUCAGCUCGUGUCGUGAGAUGUUGGGUUAAGUCCCGCAACGAGCGCAACCCUCGCCCUGUGUUGCCAGCACGUCGUGGUGGGAACUCACGGGGGACCGCCGGGGUCAACUCGGAGGAAGGUGGGGAUGACGUCAGAUCAUCAUGCCCCUUACGUCCAGGGCUUCACGCAUGCUACAAUGGCCGGUACAACGGGAUGCGACACCGCGAGGUGGAGCGGAUCCCUUAAAACCGGUCUCAGUUCGGAUUGGAGUCUGCAACCCGACUCCAUGAAGGCGGAGUCGCUAGUAAUCGCGGAUCAGCAACGCCGCGGUGAAUGCGUUCCCGGGCCUUGUACACACCGCCCGUCAAGCCAUGAAAGUGGGUAGCACCCGAAGCCGGUGGCCCAACCUUUUGGGGGGAGCCGUCUAAGGUGAG
rnacentral:rRNA from 1 species